rnacentral:rRNA from 1 species
UACGGAGGGCGCAAGCGUUGUUCGGAAUCAUUGGGCGUAAAGCGCGUGUAGGCGGCUUGGCAAGUCGGGUGUGAAAUCCCUGGGCUCAACCCAGGAACUGCACUCGAAACUGCCUCGCUAGAGUCCCGGAGAGGGUGGCGGAAUUCCCGGUGUAGAGGUGAAAUUCGUAGAUAUCGGGAGGAACACCAGUGGCGAAGGCGGCCACCUGGACGGUGACUGACGCUCAGACCCGAAAGCGUGGGUAUCAAAC